rnacentral:tRNA from 1 species
GCGGUAGUAGUUUAAUGGCAGAACUUUCGGCUGUGGCCCGGAUGGACUGGGUUCAAUUCCCAGCUACCGCC